UAGGGAAUCUUCCACAAUGGGCGCAAGCCUGAUGGAGCAACACCGCUUGAGUGAAGAAGGGUUUCGGCUACGUAAAGCUCUGUUGUUAAAGAAGAGCACGUAUGAGAGUAACUGUUCAUACGUCGACGGUAUUUAACCAGAAAGUCACGGCUAACUACGUGCCAG
rnacentral:rRNA from 1 species